rnacentral:rRNA from 1 species
AUUGAACGCUGGCGGCAGGCUUAACACAUGCAAGUCGAGCGGAGAUGAGGUGCUUGCACCUUAUCUUAGCGGCGGACGGGUGAGUAAUGCUUAGGAAUCUGCCUAUUAGUGGGGGACAACAUUCCGACAGGAAUGCUAAUACCGCAUACGCCCUACGGGAGAAAGCAGGGGAUCUUCGGACCUUGCGCUAAUAGAUGAGCCUAAGUCGGAUUAGCUAGUUGGUGGGGUAAAGGCCUACCAAGGCGACGAUCUGUAGCGGGUCUGAGAGGAUGAUCCGCCACACUGGGACUGAGACACGGCCCAGACUCCUACGGGAGGCAGCAGUGGGGAAUAUUGGACAAUGGGGGGAACCCUGAUCCAGCCAUGCCGCGUGAGUGAAGAAGGCCUUAUGGUUGUAAAGCACUUUAAGCGAGGAGGAGGCUACUUUAGAUAAUACCUAGAGAUAGUGGACGUUACUCGCAGAAUAAGCACCGGCUAACUCUGUGCCAGCCGCCGCAGUAAUAC